rnacentral:misc_RNA from 1 species
AGAUAACCCAUUAACGGCCAACAGAUUUGUAAUUUUCGUCACCUCCCAAAACUACCCCUAUAAAUACUCCCCGCGCCGCAUUUCACAGGCAAAACCAGAGAGUAACUGUAAGAAACCAGCUCUUGUUAAUGGCUGAGGCGGCGGUGGAGACGGCGACUAAAGAGCGGAAGAUCCUGGUGGCUGUGGAUGAGAGCGAGGAGAGCAUGCAUGCUCUCUCAUGGUGCCUAAAGAACGUUAUUUCUCAUAAUUCAAAGGAUACAAUCAUCCUCCUCUACGCUAAGCCUCCUCGACCUGUCUACACUGCUCUCGACGGCACAGGAUAUUUGUUUUCUUCUGAUAUUAUAGCGACUAUGGAGAAGUACAGUAGCGAUGUGGCUGAUUGUAUCAUAGAGAAGGCCAAGAGGAUGUGCAGAGAUCAACAAGCUCAUCAUGAUGUGAAGCUGGAGACGAGAGUAGAGUGUGGUGAUCCAAGGGAUGUGAUUUGUGAGAUGGUGGAGAAGCUGAGUGCGGACAUGCUAGUGAUGGGAAGCCAUGGUUACGGUCUGAUCAAGAGGGCAUUUCUUGGGAGCGUGAGCAACCACUGCGCACAGAACGUCAACUGUCCUGUGUUGAUUGUGAAGAAACCAAAAUCAAGCGGUGGGAGUGGAAGCAAAUAAAUACCAAUUCCUUUUCAAUUUUUUUUUUCCUGAAAAUUGAGGACUCCUUUGUUUGUAUAUAAUUUUGAAUGUGUAAAUUCAAAUUGGAAUUCUACUUUUAAUGCAACAAUUAGCUUAGCUUAAAGGAUUCAAA